rnacentral:rRNA from 1 species
ACUCUUCCGCAAUGGACGAAAGUCUGACGGAGCAACGCCGCGUGAGCAAAGAAGGCCNNNGGGUCNANACGCUCUGUUGUUAGNGANNGACAAGUAACGGGGUAACUGCCGGAAAAUGGACGGUACCUCACCAGAAAGCGAUGGCUCACUAAGUGCCAGGUCCCGCGGUAAUACGUAGGUGGAAAGCGUUGUCCGUAAUUAUUGGGCGUAAAGCGCGCACAGGCGGUCUCUUAAGUCUGGUGUGAAAGCCCCCGGCUCAACCGGGGAGGGUCAUUGGAAACUGGGAGACUUGAGUGCAGAAGAGAAGAGCGGAAUUCCACGUGUAGCGGUGAAAUGCGUAGAGAUGUGGAGGAACACCAGAGGCGAAGGCGGCUCUUUGGUCUGUAACUGACGCUGAGGCGCGAAAGCGUGGAGAGCAAACAGG